AAGUGUGGAACAUCGACUAAAAUCUGCCACAUCAUGUGGCAAACGUCGAUGCCAGCCCAUCCUGGGCA
rnacentral:sRNA from 1 species